AACGUAGGAGACGAGCGUUAUCCGGAAUUACUGGGCGUAAAGCGCGUGUAGGCGGAUGGUCAAGUGGGACGUGAAAGCUUCCGGCUCAACUGGGAGAGGACGACCUAGACUGGACAUCUGGAGUGGAACAGAGGCAUGUGGAAUUCCGGGUGUAGUGGUGAAAUGCGUAGAGAUCCGGAGGAACACCAGAGGCGCAGGCGACGUGCUGGGUUCACACUGACGCUGAGACGCGACAGCAUGGGGAGCGAACGGG
rnacentral:misc_RNA from 1 species